rnacentral:rRNA from 1 species
CCAGUCGUACCGGCGGGUAAUCAGCCUUUCGGGUAUGAUUCUGUGGAGCGUGAGGAGUUAAACGCCUUCAUGCCUGCAUAUUCGUGCUCUUGGGUGUACUUGCUCGUGUGGUUGGUUAACAUCAAUUUUGGUUAUCAUAAAAUGGCUGGAGGAAUGUAGCUUCGAUUUCGAUCGAAGUGUUAUAGCCUUUGGCAGAUGUGAUGACCGGGAUUGAGGAUUGCAACGAAUACCCUUCGGGGCUACCUGUCUGAUCUCUGAUCGUUGCUCUGGUGCCGAAAGCUUGCUUACGGUUAUCAAAGUCGAUGGUCAACAGGUUAGAACGGGUUAAA